rnacentral:ncRNA from 1 species
CUUAUCAAGAGAGAUGUAAGGGACAGGCCCAUUGACAUCCGGCAACCUGCAAACGUAAGGUGCCAAAUCCUGCGGUGUAAACCGAAAGAUAAG